rnacentral:rRNA from 1 species
GAUGAACGCUGGCGGCGUGCUUAACACAUGCAAGUCGAACGAUUAAAGCCCCUUCGGGGGUGUAUAGAGUGGCGAACGGGUGAGUAACACGUGGGCAAUCUGCCCCUCACUUCGGGAUAACUCAGGGAAACUUGAGCUAAUACCGGAUACUCCGGGAAGGUCGCAUGGCCAACCCGGGAAAGCUCCGACGGUGAGGGAUGAGCCCGCGGCCCAUUAGCUUGUUGGUGAGGUAACGGCUCACCAAGGCGACGGUGGGUGGCCGAGCUGAGAGGCUGAUCGGCCACACUAGGACUGAGACACGGCCCGGACUCCUACGUGAGGCAGCAGUGGGGAAUUUUGCGCAAUGGGCGGAAGCCUGACGCAGCAACGCCGCGUGCGGGAUGAAGGCCUUCGGGUUGUAAACCGCUUUCAGCAGGGAUGAAAUUGACAGUACCUGCAGAAGAAGCCCCGGCUAACUACGUGCCAGCCGCCGCCGUAA